GGCGGAAGCACAGAACAAUGUUCUCUUCCAAAGGAGGCCGGCCUACUGAUGGUGAGCUGACAGUCCUCUCCACGUCCUGUUUAGCCUUUGAAGUGGCUGGCGGGNNNNNNUUUAGAUUCAUUAACUGAAUAUUCUUCAAGUGUUGUCCUGCCUGGAGUUAUUUCUUCAGUAUUUAGCCCCAUUUUCUUCUUACAUACGUGUCCUGUGCUUCCGCUAGGCUGCAAUGUUUCAGUGCAAAACAGUUCUGAA
rnacentral:misc_RNA from 1 species